AUACGUAGGGGGCGAGCGUUGUCCGGAAUGAUUGGGCGUAAAGGGCGCGUAGGCGGCCCGGUAAGUCUGGAGUGAAAGUCCUGUUUUUAAGAUGGGAAUUGCUUUGGAUACUGUCGGGCUUGAGUGCAGGAGAGGUAAGUGGAAUUCCCAGUGUAGCGGUGAAAUGCGUAGAGAUUGGGAGGAACACCAGUGGCGAAGGCGACUUACUGGACUGUAACUGACGCUGAGGCGCGAAAGUGUGGGGAGCAAACAGGAUUAGAUACCCUAGUAGUCCACACUGUAAACGAUGAAUGCUAGGUGUAGGGGGUAUCGACCCCUUCUGUGCCGCAGUCAACACAAUAAGCAUUCCGCCUGGGGAGUACGGCCGCAAGGUUGAAACUCAAAGGAAUUGACGGGG
rnacentral:rRNA from 1 species